rnacentral:rRNA from 1 species
GACGAACGCUGGCGGCGUGCUUAACACAUGCAAGUCGAACGGAAAGGCCCUGCUUUCGUGGGGUGCUCGAGUGGCGAACGGGUGAGUAACACGUGAGUAACCUGCCCUUGACUUUGGGAUAACUUCAGGAAACUGGGGCUAAUACCGGAUAGGAGCUCCUGCUGCAUGGUGGGGGUUGGAAAGUUUCGGCGGUUGGGGAUGGACUCGCGGCUUAUCAGCUUGUUGGUGGGGUAGUGGCUUACCAAGGCUUUGACGGGUAGCCGGCCUGAGAGGGUGACCGGCGACAUUGGGACUGAGAUACGGCCCAGACUCCUACGGGAGGCAGCAGUGGGGAAUAUUACACAAUGGGCGGAAGCCUGAUGCAGCGACGCCGCGUGCGGGAUGACGGCCUUCGGGUUGUAAACCGCUUUCGCCUGUGACGAAGCGUGAGUGACGGUAAUGGGUAAAGAAGCACCGGCUAACUACGUG